rnacentral:lncRNA from 1 species
AGUGGGCGGACCGCGCGGCUGGAGGUGUGAGGAUCCGAACCCAGGGGUGGGGGGUGGAGGCGGCUCCUGCGAUCGAAGGGGACUUGAGACUCACCGGCCGCACGCCAUGAGGGCCCUGUGGGUGCUGGGCCUCUGCUGCGUCCUGCUGACCUUCGGGUCGGUCAGAGCUGACGAUGAAGUUGAUGUGGAUGGUACAGUAGAAGAGGAUCUGGGUAAAAGUAGAGAAGGAUCAAGGACGGAUGAUGAAGUAGUACAGAGGUCCAGAUAAAGUCUAACACCCUGUAUUUAAAUACCCGAGAGGAAGAAGCUAUUCAGUUGGAUGGAUUAAAUGCAUCACAAAUAAGAGAACUUAGAGAGAAGUCGGAAAAGUUUGCCUUCCAAGCCGAAGUUAACAGAAUGAUGAAACUUAUCAUCAAUUCAUUGUAUAAAAAUAAAGAGAUUUUCCUGAGAGAACUGAUUUCAAAUGCUUCUGAUGCUUUAGAUAAGAUAAGGCUAAUAUCACUGACUGAUGAAAAUGCUCUUUCUGGAAAUGAGGAACUAACAGUCAAAAUUAAGUGUGAUAAGGAGAAGAACCUGCUGCAUGUCACAGA